AUCUUAAAAAAGAAAAAAAGAAAUGAGGCUACUUAAAAAUGUGUCUGGAUCCUGGGCUGAUAAGUGAGUGAUACAGUGAGAUUUAAGCCUAGAGCUGUGUCCUCCAUCAUUGGCUGCUUUAAAAAUUGGUUCAAACUGCUUGUCUUUUUAUUUUCCAACAAAAGAUUAUUGUAAUGAAAACAGGCAUUUUGUGGGAGGGAUAGAGCAAGAAGUACCAGUUAAAAUUCAAACAAACAGCACACUAAACAACAUGGUCACCAUCACGUGUAGAUGAUUAAUCACCAGACACUAUAGGUAGGUGAUUUUUUUUUCUUCUCACUCCACGUCUGAAGUUUCUGAACUUCACUGCUGAUUUAAAAAAGAUAAGCUGGCCAGGCAUGGUGGCACAUGCCUGUAAAUCCCUGCACACUGGAGGCUGAAAGGAGAGGCUCACUAAUUCUAGGCUAGGGUAAUAACACAGAGAGACCCUGUUUGGAAAUAAAUAAAGUAAAUAAAACUGGAGUAAAGUCUUCUAAAUCUGGGAGCUUUGGGUUUGCUUAUUUGCAAUCUAAAAGUAAACAAACCCACAGGAAGUCAUGUGGUCGGCCUUUUGCCUUAAAUACCUCCCUGCCACCACUUUUCAUGGCUGUUUGGGGAGAAGUAUAGGACUCCACCUUAACACACAGGGCCCUGAGUUCAAUCCCAGCCUGGGUGGGGCAUAUGCUCAACCUUUUUCCAUGGUCUUAGUAAACGUGCUUUCUUGUCCAUUUUUUUUUUCAGAUGACUGAUUUUCAGUGCAAAUAAAUAGAAAUAAAACAUAAUUUGCCUGUCUCAGACUGGCAUGACAAGGAAAGAGACAACAUCUGAAAGAGGUUAAAAAGUGAUAAAGAAAAUACCAUAAACCUCCAAAACAAUACAACACCAGGCUAGAGAUAACAGCUGGCAGUGGAAUUAACACAAUAGUUAGAAACACAAAGUAACCACUGGUACUCUCAGGAGAGGAAAGAAUUCUCAGACCACGAAGGAAAAGCAGGGGCUUUCCUCCUUCCUUCAGUUAGCUCACCUUGUGUCAAGGACAUAACAUCCCCUUGAGCUCAGGGAUAGAGCUCACAUCUAGCACACACUCGGCUCUGGAUUCAAUCCACAGCAUGCAAGGAAAGAAAAGAACCCCUCACCCCCUGAAAAUCCAGUGUAUCUCUGUACCUUGUACCUUGUCUAACACAGUGCUUCGCAAAGGAAACGUUUGUCCAAUCAGUAAGGCUUCUGUUCACAUGAUUGCCAUAAACCACCCUGUAGCUAGCUAUCCAGAAAAAGGAAAGGUCACAAAGUUUCAUGGAGAAACUAGGUAAAGUGUUCAAAGGAUCAGUUUCAAAUGCAAAUCCUUGAAUUUAAGUAGAAGACCCUUGCUUGUUUAAAGGCCUUUGAGAAGAGCCAGAAGGCAGAGCAGAGAAUCAAAUGAGUCUGUGGAGUUUGGUUUUUUAUCACCCAGCUCUGUGGAGGCUUUGGUUGAAGUUCCACUAGUAAAUUGUCAACCUUUCUGCCUCAGAUCAGCAAGCCUUCCCAACACAAGACUUCGCAGAUGACCCUUUCAACAGAUACGAGGACAAUUCAACAGAGGAGUGGAACCUGUGGACAUGGAAGACACUGAAAAUAUACUCCAUCUUCAGAACAGCUGAGACACUAUACAAUUACUAUCUUCACUUUACAGAUGACAGUUUGGAUGUGAACUUGGCAACAUUCCUAGGAAUUCAUAGCUGGUGACAAAAAAAAAAAUAUAGUCAAGGCCAAACAGUGCA